rnacentral:lncRNA from 1 species
UCCUUUAUAUUUUCUUUUAAUCUAUAAUUCAAUUUUUACCCCUUAUUCAAUCUAGUCCAUCUUCUUAUUUUCUCUUAAUUAAACUAAAUUCACUUAAUUAAAACCUAAUUAAGCUCACCACUAGACUUAUAAAUAAUUCUAAUAAUUAUUUACAAACCCAUUUUAUUAAGACGGAGGCUCGAUAAUGUACUUUUUCGAUGCCCGUGAAUUUUGGGUCAUAUCACAACUGUGGGUGGAGGAUGUAAUCCAACAAGCCAAAGAAGAAGAGGAAGCAAUAACACACUAUCAAAGAAAAAUGAACAAUACAUAUUAAGAAUCUUUACAAAGCACAAAAUAGAAAUUACAACUAUCUUUGCAAGUAAAAAACUUGAAAUUCAUUUCUUUAUCAAUCCCCCAAAAAAGAAAAAAAGAAAAGAAAAGAAAAGAAUGUGUUUUUGUGGAUUUGAUUAAUUGAUGAUUGACAUUUAAUACUUAUUUUUUUAAAAAAAAUACCCAUUUAAUACAUCCACAUCCAAAUAACAUAGUUUCUAGUUCUACAGAAAUAUACAUAUAUUAUAUGAAAAUUUUUAAAAUAUUCGAUCUUUAAUUUACCUUCUAAAAAGUUUGUAUUCAUCCUCACAUUGUAAUUAACUAAUGUUUUAUUUGAAUUAACUUCUUUUAUUUUGUAUUAACUCAAUUCGAUUAUAGGUAUACAGUGUAUUAAAUAUCUUAAAAAUUAUGUAUGUUAAAAUAUUCGAUUAUUAUUUGUAUUUAAAUAAAAUCUAAAAUUCCACAUACAUUACAUUCUUACCAUAACAUGAUUUGUUUGUAGCAUUUUUUUUUUGUUUCGUUUGUUGAGAUAAUUUUUGUAGUGUUAAUUAUAUUUUUUAAUCAAACAAUAUAAGUAAUAUAAAAAAUUGUUUGAAGACCAAAAUUAAAUAUAACAUAAAUUAAAGAUAUCGAAAAUAAAAAUAGUUUAAAAAUAUAUUAAAAGAUUAAAAUAGUUUUAAAUGAAACAUAUCAAAAAUAAAAACAUAUCGAAAAUUAAAUAUAACCAAAAUGUUCUUGUUUAAAGUAAAAAGAUCAAAUCCAAAUUGUAAAUGUAGUUUAACAUGUAUAUAUUGUCUUGUUGCUACCUUAGCAUACCCUUGAGUGAUAUUUGCAACUUUUGAAUGCCAGAUAAAAUCUGCAACCAUGAAAAUGUCCUUAGCAACCAUGUAAAUGCCAGAUAAAAUGUGCAACUUUUGAAUCAAUCAAAAUAGAUGAAAACCAGUGGAAAAAUGAGGGUAAUGAACGAUUGCCUAUAACUCAAUACAAAAAUCUUACGAUGGACUGGUGAUCAAGUUAUAAUGUCUCUGUCCAAUCAACUAUCAACAUUAUGAACGAUACCCUUAAUUUAAAUUGCAUAAAACAGAUGAAGAUAGGUAUAAAAUAUGAUCAUGCUUUCAUUAGUUUUUAAGGAGAAUUACUAUACAACCUUAGAAAAUAGAAACUCAAUUAUAUGUUGCCUUCAAAAUGUAGGGACAGACUAAUAACAAAGAAAACCAGUAGAAAGUUACAACUACAAACUUAAAUAUUAAAUAUUUGAGAUUCAUUGUGCCAAUUCGAUAUUAAAAAAAAUUGAAACUUUGAAAUUAUAAAUGAACGAAGCAUACUAGAUCAAAUUAGAUUUAAAUUAAAUAUAAUAUCAUUGACUCACUGUGGUAAGCAAUCACCAAUGAUUUGAGCACACAUAUACCAAUAAUAUAUAUUUGAAGUCAAUAUGGUAAGAUGGUCCAUCCUCAUGCAAAUGUUACCAAUACAAAUCAGCAAUGAUUAAAAAAACCAGCCCACAUUAGUUGCAGCCUCAGAGUCAGAUCAUACAAACAAUUGACUAUCAAAUGAUUAAGAUGGACUAAGAUUCAUGCUUGUGCUAAGCAAUAAAUACAAAAGCACAAAGCCUGAGUCAGAUUCAUGCUUGUGUUAACAAACUAUACCACAACAACAUAAAGACCGAAAGAACAUCCAUAAAACAAACUUACAAAUUCACAAGAUUUGUAAUAAUAUCAUGAGUCAUGGAACUGAAAAUUCUGUAGAAUUUAAAGAAAAUCAUAUCUUCGUUAAGACUAUUGUGAGGGUUCCUACUUAGAACUAACCUAUUAACAUUUUAAAUAGAACACAAUUUUCAACAUUGGAACUGAAUACCACAGAAAGUUAGCAUCACAUAAUUAUUGCCAAAAAAAUGCAAUAAAGGGCCUUAUCCGAUCUUUAAGUCUGAAAAUGAGUACAUGCAUGGUAAACACUUUUUACUUGGUACAGUAAAUACUAAGAAAAUAAAAAAGAUGAAAUGAAUUUGCUACCUUAGCUAACAAAUUUGAAUCCAGCAAAACAAAAAGGAUGGCGAGAUUACAGAUAAAAACUAAUUAGGUAUAUCAUUUUCUUGCAUUCCACUUCUAAAUCUUUCCUAGAGAGCAUAUGAAUGAAAAAGUAUGCUCAUUUUCUAUCAUUCUUCCCACCAAUCCUCUAUCCUCCUAGUUUUCAAAACACUCCACCAAUAAAAUUUUAAAGUUAACCACAACAACAUAAUGUAUACGGUACAUUCCAAGAGGGCAGAAAAUGCAAAGAAAUAAAUGCUCUUACUUAUUUCAACUUAUAACAUUAUACUAACAAAAUUUGAGAAAAAAGAAAGAAAGAAGAGGAAGAAAAAGUAGCAUUUAAGGUUGAGAACACAGUAUGAAAAUUACCCUGUUCUCACGGUAUUCUUCUGAAUACUCUGAUCCAUCUCAUCUAAAACAUGUGAUCUAAAAAGCACAUCAAACUGUAUCAAAUAAAGCAUCAUUAAACAAAAUCCAGUAAAAAGAACCAUUGCACUAAAAGCAAUCUAAUUUUGCAACAUCUAAAACUUCCAUCUAAACUUCAUAAAAAGCCUAACAUAGGGUCAUAUUUUUUUGGCAGAACUAGGGACAAGCAGCAAGGUAAGAAAUAUAUCCAAUUUCUAAAGAGGACCCAAAACCCUAAUUCCCAACAUAGGCCAUUCAACAUUACAAAGGACUAAUACAUCAAAUUUCAAGAUAGCUGGAGAUAAGGUUGGGAGGAAAUGAGAAGAAGAAUGAGAAAGAGGAAAAUGCUUUAGAAGUUUGAAAGAAAUAAGGGUAAACAGAGGAAAUUUUUCACCCACCCAUUCGCUGAAUAGUUAUUCCUGACCCAGACCACCGAAUUGUAAACAUAACUUUUGCCUUGAAUAAUCCCGUUUGGAAUAGGAUUGUAAUAGCUCAUUACAACCAACCAAACAAUGGCUUAGUGAUGGGCUCACUGAAUUCAGUUGUAAUGUAUUAGUAUUACAACCAACCAAACAUGCUGUUAACAUUUUCAAUAUUAAGGCAACGUCUAGUGUUUUCCCAGGUUAUGAUUAAAAUGGAAUGUAAUUCAUUAAAAUGUAAUUUUUGUGAAUGUGAUUUUCGGGAAAGUUACUUUAUAGCGUUUGAUAUACAUAGGAAUGUGUUGAUUAAAAUUCUAAAAUACGAUGAAAUUUACACUAUCACAUUUGGUUCACUAAAUACUUUAUUAGGAAUGUAAUGCUAAUUUAUGAAAGUACUUUUAUUAAAUAAAAUAAAAUAUUUAUGUAUUUAAUUCCUAUAUUAAACUUUAUUCUUAACAAAUAUUUGGAUUAAAUAUUUAAUAAUAAAUUUUAAUUGACAUUUUUAAUUUUUUAAAUUUAUAAUGUUAAUUGGAAAUAAAAUUAUUUUAAAUUUGUCUUGCAUAUAUUUUCUAAAUAUAAUAAUGCACAUAUAAAAUCAAGUAUAUAUAAAAUUUGUUUUGCAAUAAACUAAAAAAAUAUGUAUAUAUAAUACUUGUGAAAAAUCUGUUAAAAUAAUAAAGAAAAUCAAGCAGUAGGACAAAGGAAGAAGGUAAUAGCUUUUUUUUUUCUUUUACCUUCAUUAAUAUAUUAAUAUCCUAAAUCAAUAUAAAAUAAGAUUAAUUUUGUCAUAAUAUUUUUUAGAACUUUUCAAUCUAUAUGAAAAAGUUUAUCAUGAGAAUCAUAUUAUCAUGUAAUGGAAAAUGACACCUAAAAGAAAAUUAGAUUUGAAAGAAAAUAAAUAAUGCUGAAAUGCUAAAAGUUAAAAUCACUUUCUAACUCUAAAAAAAAUUAGCUAUUUUUCAUAAUACCAAAUGUUAUCUAAGUAAUAAGCAGCUACCUACUUAGCAUAUUCAACAUAUUUUGUUAAAAAAAUUAUAUUCGUGAAAAAUUAAUAGAUUAUUAAAUACCAUUAAAAAAUUAAAUGUUGAAAAAUUACAUUUUCAAUCAUUUAUUAAACACAACUUAAAUUAUAUUUUUAAAUUUUAUAUAUAUACAAAAAAAAUAACUAAAAAAAGUUAGGGUGUUUUAUUAAUACUUAUUUAUUUAAUUAUAUAUUUUAAAAUAUUAUCAUAAAAUAUUUUAACAAUAAAUUUAAAAAUAAAUUUAAAUAUUUUUCAAAUCAACUUGGAUCAAUUUUAAAAUUUUUUUCUAAAUAUUAAUUAGUUGAUGUGAAUCUUUCAGUUAAUUCUUAAACACCUUGAAAUCAAAUUUUUAAAACGCAAUUUACAAAGAUAAUGUUUAAAAUAAUAUUUUUCUGGUCAAUAUUAAAAUAAAAUAACAAAAAAUUAGAAAGAAGGAAUAGUAGUAUGUAAUUAUGUAUCGCUAAAAACUGGAUUUUUUCUCAAAUUGGGAGAUAUUUUUGGAGAUCAUAAAAAACUACACUGAUACCUUUGAAAAACAAUCAUUUAUUUAUUAUUAAAAGAGUAAAAAAAACAAUAAAUGAAAAUAAAAAAGAAAAAAUAGAGUUUCAAAACGACCUCUGGAGUCUGUGGCGGUGUAGUCGUCGUAGGUCUCUUAAGACACCCGCAAAUGUACACAUCUUUUUUUAACUAUUUCAUACUUCAUUUACUUUCAUUUCACUCCUCUUCUAAUAGGCCCUAAACCUUUUUUCCCCUAUUUAUUGACCCCCCCCCCCCCCCCUUGAUUUCCUUGUUGAAACACUGUGAAAAUUCCUCAGAGAACUCAAAAUUUGUAUAAAACGCCAAAAAUCAAACAAACACUUAAACCAAGCACCACUCUCUCAUCAAACCUCCAUUCUAUUUGCUUUUGGGGUUUUCUUUUCUCUUUCUUUCUUUCAUUUUCAUAAAUCUCUCUUUGAGAAUCAAUUUUCUUUGGUUUCAUGCUGCCUACUUUGGAUGUGUAAGCAUCCAUCGCUAAUCGCUCUCUCUCGCCUUUCACAGGUUUUCUCUCUUUUCUUUCUUUUUAGGCUUUUCAGUAUGUCUAUUUUUUAUGUAAUUUAUAUCUGAUCUGUUUUUUUUUUUCGAUUUCUAAAAUAUAUGUUCUCGUUCUUUUUAAAUUUGUUUCGUCUUUUUAGUAGUUGGAAGUAGAGGAGUAGAGGUGAGAUGGCGAAUAUAAGAUCGACUUUGCCUUCGAGGCUUCGCCAGCUUUUGUCUGGUGAAACUGACAUCGGUCCUUCUAUUAAACUCGAUUCUGAGCCCGUAAGUUUCUUUUUCUUUAAUUUUUCGUUUAGGAUUCCUGAGAAAAUGCUGUCUAAUUAGGGUUUAUCUGAAUCUCUCUUUUUUUUUUGUACUCCUUUCUCGGAGUGAUUGCUAUUUUAAUGCUAUGCUUGUUUCUUUAUGUUUUCUAUGUUAUUAUUAGUUGUUGAUAUAAUUGAUUGUUUGUUUGUUACUAUUGAUUGCUUCCACUAUAUGGCGGUUAACUGAGAGAUAUUAAUGCUUUUAGAACGAAUUGAUUCUUACAUUAUUAGUUGUAGUCACAAAAUUGUUAUCUGUAUUUUAAAAAAAAAUGAGCACAAUGUCUUAAAGCUGAAGACCUUAUAUUGUUUAUGACAUGUUUUCUGUUCUACCUGCUUAAGAAUGUGCUUUGGAGUAAGCAUUCCGUAUUUGCAAAUGUUUUCUCUAACAGUAAGGGCAAUAGUUGGUGUCAGUUGUUAUGGUUCAUGUUGUUUCUCUGACAGGAUUAUGCGCCUUUACUUCUCAUAAUUCAUACCAAGUAAGAAUCCUGAGGUUUUAGAGAGUUUUUUAUUUAUUUAAAUAAUGCUGGACUAGAAAAUUGAAGCAUGUAAUUUGUUGUGGAUAGUUGUCUUAGGAUGUUAUGAUCUUUUUUUACACUAUAUUUUUCAUUUUAGAAUAAAAAAUAAUGUUAGUAAAUUGCUAAAUUGUGCAUUCUGUGUUAUUUUGCCUAGGUAUGAAACUUUCUGUAUGGUUCUAGAUGUUUCCGGGCUUACAUGCUGAUAACUUAGUUUCUUUAAUUUCAAUAUAUGAAUGAAAUAUUUUGUCCAAGGUUAUAGAGGACAUUUUGGUUUCUUUCAUUGGAGUUUUUGGAAUGCCAUUUAAGCCUAGAUUUUAGGCACUUCUAACUGAUCAAUGCUAGUUCUUUUCCUACUUUCUACUUUUAGAAUAUUUGGUUAUCAUGUGUUUACUGCUGGUGCUUGUAAUUAUAUGUCUGUGUGAACUUUUUGUUCUGGUACUGCUAUAAUUUUAUAAUUGAUGUGAUACAUCUGCAAUCAGUACGCAUGUCCUGUUCUGCGGUACUAUUAAUAGCUUUUAUAAGAUGGCAUUCUCUACUCUCAAUUAAUUGUUGCUUGGUAUGACUUUUAGACCUUUAGCAAAGUGCUUAUAUGAAUAUCUUUGUGAGCAUCUAUUUUAUCUUUCUACAUUGUGGAAGUAUUAGAAGAAUUUUUUAGUUCUCUUCUAUUUUAUACUCUCAAUUAAUUGUUGCUUGGUAUGACUUUUAGACCUUUAGCAAAGUGCUUAUAUGAAUAUCCUUGAGAGCAUCUAUUUUAUCUUUCUACAUUGUGGAAGUAUUAGAAGAAUUUUACAGUUCUCUUCUAUUUUAUGUGUGAAAUUUUUGGAAGUCAUCUAAGCUGGCAUCUUGGCAUAUUUUACAAGAACACUACAUAAAUUUCAUUUUUAACAUAGUUUUAUGGAUAAUUAUGAUGUACCAGCUAGUCAAUACUUGGCUAGCUUUAAUGCAAUGAGCAAGAGAUGAUGUUUUGAGUUCCCAUUAUUAUUCUUGCUCUUUUGACCUUUAAUUAUUGAGCUUCAAAUUUUGGCAUUAGUUUUGUGCUUUAAAAUUUCUUUUAGAUUUUCUUUUCAAUAUUAUUUAUUGCUUUCAUUGCUCAUAUUUGGUUAUUCUCAUCUUUCUUUAGGGAAUUAAGAGCCAACAUAAACUCCCAAACAUGCUUUAGGGAACUUAUGCAUAUACAUUGAUGUAUGUUUACUGAUUGCCAUGGACUUUCUUGAAUGGAGUAUAUACUGGUUUCAAUAAGCUUGCCUGAAUGUCCAGAAAAUUUCUAUGUAUGUUCUCUUUUUGUUCUGGGAAAUAUAUCUAACAUGCACUGUCACUUGCAGCCUCCUCAAAUUAAAGCAUUUAUUGAUAAAGUGAUCCAGAGUCCUUUACAGGAUAUAGCAAUACCUCUUUCAGGCUUUCGAUGGGAGUAUAGUAAGGUGAUUUUUGCACUACUUAUUCCUCUUUGAUUGCCUCCUUUCUUGGUUCUUUCACUCACUUGUUGCUUUUAAUUCAGGGGAAUUUUCAUCAUUGGAGGCCACUAUUUCUUCAUUUUGAUACAUAUUUCAAGACUUAUGUGUCUUGUAGGAAUGAUCUUCUCUUAUCAGAUAAAAUUCUAGAAGAUGAUAGUCCAUUUCCAAAGCAUUCAGUUCUUCAAAUACUACGAGUUAUGCAAAUGAUAUUGGAGAAUUGCCACAACAAAAGUUCAUUUGAUGGUUUGGAGGUAUGCUGAGAUGGUGCCAUGAAUUAUUUUAACUAUGGUGACUUGCGAACAUGUUUAGGUCCUAGCGACUUGUUAACUUAUGGAUGCUCUAUGUUCUUCUCCUAUACUGUUUUUUUUUUCUAAUGUAACUCUCACAUUCGCCUUUCAGCAUUUCAAGUUCCUGCUUUCAUCCACUGAUCCUGAAGUUCUCAUAGCUACCCUGGAGACUCUUUCUGCUCUUGUUAAAAUAAACCCAUCUAAGGCCCACGGGAGUGGUAAACUGAUUGGAUGUGUCUCAGUAAACAGCUAUCUGCUUUCUCUUGCUCAGGGAUGGGGGAGCAAGGAGGAGGGCUUGGGUCUGUAUUCUUGCGUUUUGGCAAAUGAGAAAACAAAUGAUGAAGGGCUUAGUUUAUUUCCAUCUGACAUGGAAAAUGACCAUGACAAGUCUCAACACCGAAUUGGUUCUAGCCUUUAUUUUGAAUUGCAUGGGCCCAAUACUCAAGGUACUGAAGAAAGCAGUGGGAAUGCAAGUUCUAAUUCGAGAGUCAUUCACAUGCCAGAUUUACAUUUGCAGGAGGAGGAUGAUCUUUUAAUAAUGAAGCAAUGUAUUGAGCAGUACAACAUACCGACUGAGCUCCGGUUUUCAUUGCUAACAAGAAUUAGAUAUGCACAUGCCUUUCGGUCACCCAAGAUAUGCAGGCUGUACAGCAGGAUUUGCCUUCUUGCAUUUAUUGUGCUUGUUCAGUCUAAUGAUGCUAAUGAUGAGCUGGCAUCAUUUUUUGCAAAUGAGCCAGAGUAUACAAAUGAAUUGAUCAGAAUCGUACGCUCUGAGGAAACGAUUCCUGGAACUAUUAGAACACUUGCGAUGCUUGCAUUAGGAGCUCAGUUAGCUGCAUAUUCAGCAUCUCAUGACCGGGCACGAAUUUUGAGUGGAUCAAGUAUUAGUUUUACUGUAGGAAAUCGGAUGAUUCUCCUGAAUGUGCUGCAGAAGGCAGUUCUGUCACUGAAAGGUUCUAGUGAUUCAUCAUCCCUUGCUUUUAUUGAGGCUCUUCUUCAGUUCUAUCUGCUUCAUAUUGUGUCAUCCUCUGCUUCAGGGAGUAAUAUUAGAGGGUCAGGAAUGGUUCCAACCUUUUUACCUCUUUUGGAGGAUUCUGACCCAAAUCAUAUGCAUCUUGUGUAUUUGGCUGUAAAAGCUCUACAAAAGCUCAUGGAUUACAGUAGUUCAGCUGUGUCAUUGCUUAGAGAACUGGGUGGGGUGGAGCUUUUGUCUCUGAGACUACAGAUAGAAGUGCAUAGAAUUAUUGGUGUGUCUGGUGGAAAUGAUAAUUCGGUGGUCAUUGGUGAAUGCUCAAGAUACAAUGAUGAUCAGUUGCAUUCCCAGAAGAGGCUUAUCAAGGUGCUUUUGAAAGCUCUUGGUUCUGCUACAUAUGCCCCUGCAAAUUCUGCCAGAGUACAGAAUCCACAUGACAGUUCUCUGCCUGGGACGCUCUCACUCAUAUAUGGCAAUGCUGAAAAAUUUGGAGGAGAUAUUUAUUACUCAGCUGUGACUGUUAUGAGUGAAAUUAUCCAUAAAGAUCCAACUUGUCUUGCUGCACUUCUUGAACUUGGUCUUCCAGAUGCCUUUUUAUCUUCUGUCUUAUCCGGAGUGCUUCCAUCUUCAAAGGCUAUAACAUGUAUUCCCAAUGGCCUUAGUGCCAUUUGUCUUAAUGCCAAAGGCUUGGAGGCCGUGAAAGAAACAUCAGCAUUGCGAUUUUUGGUUGACAUCUUCACCAGCAAGAAGUAUGUGCUUGCGAUGAAUGAAGCAAUUGUUCCUUUGGCUAAUGCGGUUGAAGAGCUUCUGCGUCAUGUAUCUUCAUUGAGAAGCAGUGGUGUUGAUAUAAUAAUUGAGAUUGUAAAUAAAAUUGCUUCCUUUGGAGACAACAGUACAUGUUCCACAUCAUUAUCUGUUGAAAAAGUUAAUGGGAGUACUGCAAUGGAAACUGAUUCUGAAGACAAAGGAAAUGAAGAGCAUUGCUGUCCUGUUGGUGAACUGGAAUCUGUAACUGAUGGAAUUAGUGAUGAGCAGUUUCUCCAAUUGAGCAUCUUGCAUCUGAUGGUUCUGCUUCAUAGAACAGAGAAUUCUGAAACAUGUCGCCUGUUUGUGGAGAAAUCAGGAAUUGAGGCUUUACUGAAGCUUCUUUUAAGGCCCAGUAUUGUACAGUCAUCAGAGGGGAUGUCAAUUGCUUUACAUAGCACUGUGGUUUUUAAAGGGUUCACCCAGCAUCACUCUGCUCCUCUUGCACGCGCAUUCUGUUCUUCUCUUAGGGAACAUUUAAAGAAAGCUUUGACUGGAUUUGGUGCAGUUUCAGGGUCCUUUUUACUGGAUCCUAGUGUGAUGCCUGAUGAUGGAAUCUUUUCUCCCCUUUUCCUCAUUGAGUUCCUUCUAUUUCUUGCUGCUUCCAAAGAUAAUCGCUGGGUUAGUGCGUUGCUUGCAGAACUUGGAAAUGGCAGCAAAGAUGUUCUGGAAGAUAUUGGUCGUGUCCAUCGUGAAAUUUUGUGGCAGAUUGCUCUCCUUGAAGAUGCCAAGGUUGAAAUUGAGGAUGAUGGUGUGAGCGCUAGUUCUGCUGAGCCUGAGUCACAACAGGGUUCUAGUGCUACCGAUACUGAAGAGCAAAGGAUGAACUCCUUUAGACAUUUCCUUGAUCCAUUAUUAAGGAGGAGGACACCAGGAUGGAGUAUUGAAUCCCAGUUCUUCGACCUCAUAAACCUUUAUCGUGACCUUGGCCGUGCUACCGGCUUUCAACAGAGAUUGCGCAUUGAUGGUUCGAAUGUGCGUUUUGGAGCCAAUCAUUCUACUUCAUCUGAUGCUUCUGGAUCUGUCAGUAAAAAGGAACAUGACAGACAGAGAUCCAAUCACACCUCUUGCUGUGACAUGGUGAGGUCACUUUCCUUCCACAUUACCCAUUUGUUUCAAGAGGUGGGAAAAGUGAUGUUACUUCCAUCGCGUCGUCGGGAUGAUACUGUCAAUGCUUCCCUUGCAUCAAAAUUGGUUGCGUCUAUUUUUGCCUCUAUUGCAUUGGAUCAUAUGAACUUUGGAGGUCAUGUUAAAUCUUCAGGCUCAGAAGCAUCCAUAUCGACAAAAUGUCGCUACUUUGGUAAGGUUAUUGAUUUCAUUGACAGCAUUCUUCUGGACAGGCCCGAUUCCUGCAAUGCUAUAAUGCUAAAUUGCUUAUAUGGUCGUGGAGUUGUUAAAUCUGUUUUGACAACUUUCGAAGCUACCAGUCAAUUACUAUUUGCAGUUAAUAGGGCACCAGCAUCUCCAAUGGAUACAGAUGAUGGUAAUGUAAAGCAGGAUGAAAAGGAAGAUGGAGAUCAUGCAUGGAUUUAUGGUCCAUUGGCUAGCUAUGGUAAACUUAUGGAUCACCUUGUGACAUCUUCUUUUAUUUUGUCUCCAUUUACCAAACACCUGCUCGUGCAACCACUUCUGAGUGGAGAUGUCCCUUUCCCAAGGGAUCCUGAAACUUUUGUGAAGGUGCUUCAAUCCAUGGUGCUUAAGGCAGUCCUUCCAGUUUGGGCAGACCCACAGUUUACCGAUUGCAGUUAUGAUUUCAUCACUACGAUUAUAUCUAUCAUUAGGCACAUUUACUCUGGUGUUGAAGUGAAAAAUAUUUCCAGUGGUAAUAAUGCCCGUGUUACUGGACCCCCUCCAAAUGAAACAGCCAUAGCAACAAUUGUAGAGAUGGGAUUUUCAAGGUCCAGGGCCGAAGAGGCUUUGAGACAAGUUGGAUCUAACAGUGUGGAGUUAGCAAUGGAGUGGUUAUUCUCCCAUCCAGAGGAAAUCCAAGAGGAUGAUGAACUUGCUCGUGCACUUGCCAUGUCUCUUGGGAACUCCGAAACUGACACAAAUGUAGAUGUUACAAAUGACAGUAGCCAACAACUGGAAGAAGAGAUGGCCCAACUUCCCCCUAUUGAGGAGUUGUUGUCGACAUGUACAAAGCUGCUUCAGAUGAAGGAACCUCUAGCGUUCCCGGUUAGAGAUCUUCUUGUGUUGAUAUGCUCCCAAAAUGAUGGUCAAUAUAGGUCCAGUGUCAUUAAUUUCAUUCUUGACCAAGUAAGAGAUUCUAGUUCUGCUUCUGUUAGCAGAAACAAUUCGCUGCUGUCUGCACUUUUCCAUCUUCUUGCUUUAAUUCUUCAAGAGGAUGUGGGGGCACGGGAAAUUGCCUCAAAGACUGGACUCGUAAGACUUGUGACUGAUUUACUUUCAGAAUGGGACUCUGGCUUAGUAGAUAAGGAGAAACCACAAGUUCCAAAGUGGGUAACCACUGCUUUCCUUGCUCUUGAUAGGCUACUUCAGGUGGAUAAAAAAUUAGAUUCUGAAAUUCUUGAGCAGUUAAAAGGGGAUAAUCUUAGUAGCCAACAGAUAUCUGUUAGUAUUGAUGAGGAUAAGAAAAGUAAGCUGCAUUCUUCAUUUGGAUCUCCAAGAAAUAUAGAUAUCUAUGAGCAAAAGAGACUGAUUGAGAUUGCUUGUGGAUGUAUAAGGAACCAGUUUCCAUCUGAAACAGUGCAUGCUGUCCUGCAGCUGUGUUCUACUCUUACUAGAACCCAUUCUCUUGCUGUUUGUUUUCUUGAUGGUGGGGGUGUAAGUUCACUUCUUUCAUUGCCGACAAGUAGUCUCUUCCCUGGGUUUGACAAUGUUGCUGCUAGUAUUAUCCGCCAUGUCCUUGAAGAUCCUCAAACCUUGCAGCACGCGAUGGAAGCUGAGAUAAAGCACAAUCUUGUGGCUAUGGCUAACAGGCAUUCGAAUGGAAGGGUUAGCCCACGCAAUUUCCUGGUCAACCUAAGUUCUGUUGUUUCUCGUGAUCCAGUGAUAUUCAUGCAGGCUGUUAAGUCUGUCUGUCAAGUUGAGAUGGUUGGUGACAGACCUUAUGUUGUUUUGAUUAAAGACCGUGACAAGGAUAAAUCAAAAGAGAAGGAAAAAGGAUCAGAAAAAGAUAAAUCACAGCAAAUUGAUGGAAAGGGUAAUUUGUGUAAUGUGAAUUCUGCAGGUCCUGGGAUCGGACAUGGAAAAUUUAAUGAUUUAAAUUCAAAGUCUGUUAAAAUGCAUAGAAAAUCUCCCCAGAGCUUUGUAAAUGUGAUUGAGCUUCUUUUGGACUUGGUUGUUUCUUUUAUACCUCCCUUGACAGAAGAUAUUAACAUGAAGGCGCAUGGUGAUGCACCACCAUCAACUGAUAUGGAAAUUGAUGUUGCUGCCAUCAAGGGUAAAGGAAAAGCCAUUGCUUCUUUGUCUUUGGAGAAUGAAGUUUCUAGCCAAGAUGUGUCUGCCUCACUUGCAAAGAUAGUAUUCAUCUUUAAACUUUUGACAGAGAUCCUGUUAAUGUACGCAUCAUCUGUUCAUGUGCUGCUUCGCAGAGAUGGUGAAAUUGGUAGCUGUAGGGCCCCUCAUCAAAAGGGCUCAACUGGUUUAACCGGUGGUGGAAUAUUUCACCACAUUCUUCACAGGUUUAUCCCAUAUUCACAGAAUUCAAAGAAGGAAAGGAAAACUGAUGGUGACUGGAGGCAUAAACUGGCAACCAGAGCUAGUCAAUUCCUGGUGGCAUCUUGUGUGCGUUCUGCAGAGGCAAAGAGGAGAGUCUUCACAGAGAUCAAUUGUAUUUUCAAUAACUUUGUUGAUUCCUGCCCUGGUUUCAGACCACCAAGGGGUGAUAUGCAGCAUUUUGUUGAUUUGCUAAAUGAUAUACUAGUUGCUCGUACCCCAACUGGUUCAUGCAUCUCGGCAGAAGCAUCUGCCACUUUUAUAGAUGUUGGUUUGAUCGUGUCGUUAACACGCACCCUUGAAGUUUUGGAUUUGGAUCAUGCUGAGUCACCUAAAGCUGUCACAGGGCUCAUCAAAGCUUUGGAACUUGUAACCAAGGAGCAUGUUCAUUCUGUUGAUUCUUCUGCUAUUAAAGGUGAGAAUUCAGUCAAACCUGCUGAUCGUAAUCAAACUGGGAGAACAGAUAAUAUUGUUGAUGCAUCACAGUCCAUGGAAAUGGCAUCGCAGUCCAAUGAUGCAAUUGCAGCUGACCGAAUUGAAUCUUUCAACAGAGUCCAAAACUAUGGUGGUUCUGAAGCUGUUACAGAUGAUAUGGAACAUGACCAGGAUCUUGAUGGGGGUUUUGCUCCUGCUGCUGAGGAUGAUUAUAUGCAAGAAACCUCUGAGGAUGCAAGGGCUCUUGAAAAUGGUGUAAACAAUGUGGGGAUCCAUUUUGAAAUCCAGCCACAUGAGCAAGAAAACCUUGAUGAUGAUGAGGAUGAGGAUGAGGAGAUGUCCGGAGAUGAUGGGGAUGAAGAUGAUGAUGAUGUACAUCACCUGUCUCAUCCAGACACAGAUCAAGAUGACCAUGAGAUUGAUGAUGAUGAGUUUGAUGACGAAGUGUUGGAGGAUGAUGGUGAUGAUGAGGACGAUGGCGAUGAUGAGGGUGGUGUUAUUCUGCGGUUGGAGGAGGGUACCAAUGGAAUGGAUAUGUUUGAUCGGAUUGAGGUUUUUGGCAGAGACCACAAUUUUGCUGAUGAAACUCUUCGUGUAAUGCCAAUUGAAGUUUUUGGUUCCAGGCGUCAAGGACGCACCACAUCCAUUUACAGUCUUUUGGGGCGGAGUGGUGAGAAUUCAGCCCCCUCGAGACAUCCUCUUUUAUUGGGCCCUUCAUCACUACAAUCAGCCUCUCCAAGGCAAUCAGGUUAUUUUCUGCGUUCUAAUAGUGUACUUGUUUUGGGUUUUGUUGUAAUUUACAAAUUAAUGCUUAUUAAUUUUGUACAUAUGUGCAUCUCUAAUUUUAACAACACUUUCUUCUUUACUUUGUUCCUGUUCAGAAAAUGCCCAUGAUAUGAUUCUCGCAGACAGAAACUCUGAUAGCACCUCAACACGUUUGGAUACUAUUUUCCGGUCUCUUAGGAAUGGGCGUCACAGCCAUCGUUUGAAUUUGUGGGUUGAUGAGAGCCAGCAAAGCAGUGGGUCAAGUGUGGCUACUGUACCACAAGGUCUUGAAGAAUUGCUUGUCUCCCAAUUGAGGCGACCAGGCCCUGAGAAAUCUCCUGAUCAGAAGACAUCAGUAGUGGAACCUCAGAACCAGGUUGAAGGUAGUCAGUUACAGGAACCAGGGACUGGUACAACGCCUGAGAAUCGUGCAGAAAACAAUGUUUAUAAUGAAAAUGCUAAUGCAUCUCUAUCUUCCGAAGCAAUUGGUAGCGCUCUCAAUGCUGAUAGGAGACCUGCAGUAAGUGAUCCUCUACAAGGCACAGAUGCAUCAAGUGUACAUUCGCAAUCUGUUGAAAUGCAAUUUGAGCAAAAUGAUGCAGCUGCUCGAGAUGUUGAAGCAGUGAGCCAAGAAAGUAGUGGUAGUGGGGCUACUUUAGGGGAAAGCCUUCGAAGCCUUGAUGUUGAGAUUGGAAGUGCAGAUGGCCAUGAUGAAGGUGGAGAGAGACAUGGAUCUUCUGAUAGAACUCCUGAACCACAGGUUGCUCGUGCAAGAAGAACAAAUGUUGGUAUUGUGAAUAGUGGCAGAGAUGCCCCGCUUCAUAGUGUUACUGAGGUUUCAGAGAACUCAAGUCGAGAGGCAGAUCAAGAUGGUCCAGCUGCAGAGCAGCAGAUAAAUAGUGAUGCUGGUUCUGGAUCAAUUGACCCUGCAUUUUUAGAAGCUCUCCCCGAGGAAUUGCGUGCUGAAGUUCUUUCAGCUCAGCAGGGUCAAGUGGCACAGCCUUCAAAUUCUGAACAACAGAAUUCUGGAGAUAUAGAUCCAGAAUUUCUUGCAGCCCUUCCCCCAGAUAUUAGAGCUGAAGUCCUAGCACAACAGCAAGCGCAAAGGCUUCAUCAAUCUCACGAACUUGAAGGGCAACCAGUUGAAAUGGACACGGUCUCAAUAAUAGCAACAUUUCCUUCAGAUUUGCGAGAAGAGGUAUAAUUUUUGUUAUUUUGUGGUUCAAUUUUAAGUUGUAAGUCCUGUGUGCCUAAACAUUUUCUUUUUGCUAUAUUUUAUCCUCAGGUUCUCCUAACGUCAUCUGAUGCUAUUCUUGCUAAUCUCACUCCUGCACUUGUUGCGGAGGCGAACAUGUUGCGCGAGAGAUUUGCGCAUCGCUAUCAUAAUCGUAGCUUGUUUGGAAUGUAUCCUAGGAAUCGCAGAGGUGAAUCUUCUAGGAGAGGCGAAGGUGUUGGAUCCAGCCUGGACAGAAUGGCAGGAAGUAUUGUGUCCCGCAGAUCUGUUUCUGCUAAGCUAAUUGAAGCUGAAGGAGCGCCUCUGGUUGGCACAGAAGCUCUCCGAGCAAUGGUUCGGAUACUUCGCAUAGUUCAGGUGUUCCCUUAGCAGGUUAAUUUUUCCUUUUGGUUCUUGAUUUUGAUCUAUGCAUUAACACAUUAAAACCUGCAGCCACUCUAUAAAGGUUCGUUGCAGAAGCUGCUCUUGAAUUUAUGUGCUCAUAAUGAAACAAGAAAAGCGCUAGUUAAAAUCUUGAUGGACAUGCUGAUGCUUGAUACAAGAAAGCCUGUCAAUUAUUCAAAUGCAAUUGAACCUCCUUACAGGCUUUACGGUUGCCAGAAUAAUGUUAUGUAUUCUCGUCCUCAACAUUUUGAUGGUAAGAUUUGGAACAGAAGAAUUCACAGUCCCUGGUGAUUCAAUAUGGCUUAUCUUAAGAACUUCACUUUUGUCUCUACCUAUUUUAAUUCUUUUUAUUUUUCAUCAGUUGAAUAUAUAUAGUUUUAUAGUUUGGUCAUCAUCUGACUUGUAGCAUUCAGGUUUGAAGUGAUUUUCUUCUAUUUUAUCCUUUUCUUUCUAGGAGUUCCUCCUUUGGUGUCUAGGCGAGUGCUUGAAACUCUCACUUACUUGGCUCGAAACCAUCCAUAUGUUGCGAAGAUUUUACUUCAGUUCAGGUUGCCUCUUCCUAUCUUACAAGAGCAAAGGAAUAUUGAUCAGUCACGUGGAAAAGCUUUGAUGAAUGAGGUGCAGCUGGAAGGAUUCAGUUCUAUUGCAUUGCUUCUGAGCCUUCUCAAUCAACCCCUGUACUUGAGAAGUAUAGCCCAUCUUGAACAGGUAACAUGUGACAACCCUAUUAUAAAUAUGUAAAGCAAUUUUAUGUCUUUUUGUUCAGUUUGCUCAUUUCUGGUUUUUGCCCCAGCUGCUUAACUUGUUGGAUGUCAUUGUUGACCAUGUGGAAAGGAAGUCCCUUUCAUCUGAGAAAUCGAAAGCAUCUUCCACUGAACAAGUACCUGCUUCACGAAUUUCAUUGGCUGAUGCUGACACCAGUGCGGAGAAGGCUCCUUCUGAUGUUGAAUCACAAUUGAAGGCUGUUGACUGCUCCAUACCUUCAACAUCUGAUUCAAGUAAUGAAUGUGAUCCGCUCAGUAUACUGACCAAUCUCCCACAAGUGGAGCUCCGACUUUUAUGCUCAUUGCUUGCACGGGAAGGGUAAGUUAUAUGUCUAACAAUGUAUCGGUUUUAGCAGUUUCCUCAAUGAGAAGUUCGUCUUUCCUCUGUUUCUUUAUUAUGCUUCAAUUGAAGAAGGGUCCUCUUUUUUCAUUUUCUGUGACCAGUGGAAUUAUGGGAUUUUGCACUUGCUAUGUUUAUUAUCUUUCCAUUGUCAAAUUUCAAUAUGAUUUAGUGCUUUUUUCCCAUUUGCUCAGUCUGAUGUUCUGUUCCCCUCCCAGAUUGUCAGAUAAUGCAUAUGGCCUGGUUGCUGAGGUAAUGAAGAAGUUGGUUGCAAUUGCUCCUAGCCACUGUCAUCUGUUUAUUUCUGAGCUAGCAGAUGCUGUACAAAAUCUGAUUAAAUCUGCCAUGGAUGAGUUACGCAUGUUUGGAGAAGCUUUGAAAGCUUUACUCAGCUCAAUAUCUUCUGAUGGAGCUGCAAUUUUAAGGGUCUUACAGGCACUGAGUUCUCUUGUUUCUUCAAUAACUGAGAGAGAAAAGGAUCUGCAGCUGCUUCCUGAAAUAGAGCGUUCUACUGCUCUUUCUAAGGUGUUGGACAUUAAUGCCGCCUUAGAACCUUUGUGGACAGAGUUGAGUACUUGCAUAAGCAAAAUAGAGAGCUAUUCAGAUUCUGCACCAGAUUUAUUAGCUCCUUCGAGAACGACCACAACACGUUCUGGUGUAACACCACCCCUUCCUGCAGGCACUCAAAACAUCUUACCAUAUAUUGAAUCCUUUUUCGUGAUGUGUGAGAAGUUACAUCCUGCACAGCCAAGUUCUGGUCAAGAUUUUAGCAUGGCUACACUUUCCGAUGCUGAGGAUGCCAGCACAUCUUCUGGCCAGCAGAAAACUGCUUGUCCUGUCUCAAAAUUUGAUGAAAAACAUGUUGCCUUUGUGAAGUUCUCUGAGAAACAUCGGAAGUUGCUAAAUGCUUUUAUCCGUCAAAACCCCGGGCUGCUUGAGAAGUCAUUUUCACUCAUGCUGAAAGUUCCCCGCUUUGUUGAUUUUGAUAAUAAACGUGCUCACUUCAGGUCUAAAAUAAAGCAUCAACAUGAUAAUCAUCACAGUCCUCUGAGAAUAUCAGUUAGAAGGGCUUACAUUCUUGAGGAUUCAUAUAACCAACUGCGGAUGCGGACAACUCAAGAUUUGAAGGGGAGAUUAACUGUUCACUUCCAAGGAGAGGAAGGUAUUGAUGCGGGUGGGCUUACAAGGGAAUGGUAUCAGCUCUUGUCCAGGGUUAUAUUUGACAAAGGAGCUUUGCUUUUCACUACUGUGGGUAAUGAGUCCACAUUCCAGCCUAACCCGAACUCAGUCUACCAAACAGAGCAUCUUUCAUACUUCAAAUUUGUUGGGCGAGUUGUGAGUACCUUCUCUGGUUGCUUUUUUUGGAUUGAAUCUUAUUUUUUUGGAUAAAGUAAUUUUCAUUUUUCUAAAAGCAAAGUAUGCAACUCCUCUUUUUCAUUUGGGUCUGACUUUUGUUUCACUUCCUAAUCAAAAUUUUAAAGGUCGGCAAAGCACUUUUUGAUGGGCAACUCUUGGAUGUCCACUUCACUCGAUCUUUCUACAAGCAUAUCUUGGGGGCGAAAGUUACUUAUCAUGACAUUGAAGCAAUUGAUCCUGAUUAUUUCAAAAACCUAAAGUGGAUGCUUGAGGUCUGUCUUUUUUCUGUUAUCUUUUCCUCUUUUUCUCUUAUGAGGGAGAGGGAGGGAGCUUUUAGUUUGUUAGCUAUUAUCUUUCUCAGUCCAUUAGAUAAUUGUUUUGCAUUUCUUUUUUUCUCCUUUCCUUAUUUGUUUCUCCAGAAUGAUAUUAGUGAUGUCCUGGGCCUUACUUUUAGCAUUGAUGCUGAUGAGGAGAAGCUGAUAUUGUAUGAAAGGACACAGGUAAGUGUUUUGAUUGAUCUUUUCAAGAAACCCUUUGUGGUGACAUUUCUUUUUUGGUUAUAAAUUUAUGAUUUAUAUUCUACGAAAUAUGGUGCAGGUGACUGACUAUGAGCUGAUUCCUGGUGGUCGGAACAUUAAAGUUACUGAGGAGAAUAAACACCAAUAUGUUGACUUGGUUGUUGAGCAUCGUCUGACAACAGCUAUCCGUCCUCAAAUAAAUGCAUUUCUGGAAGGAUUCAAUGAAUUAAUUCCUAGGGAAUUAAUUUCUGUUUUUAAUGACAAGGAGCUGGAGUUACUGAUAAGUGGUCUUCCUGAUAUUGAUCGUAAGUGUUUAUAAACCAAUUUAUUUAAAUGUUAAUUACUUGAUGAUAGAAUGCUUUAUUUUGCCUACCAUUAUUUUAAUAUGACAUGAUCUCAAUAACUCUCUCCUAGUGGAUGACAUGAGGGCAAAUACGGAGUACUCUGGUUAUAGUGCAGCAUCACCUGUUAUUCAGUGGUUUUGGGAGGUUGUUCAGGGGUUCAGCAAGGAGGAUAAAGCUCGGCUUCUACAGUUUGUGACAGGCACCUCAAAGGUAAUUCAACGCCUGAAAUUGUAGUUAAUACUACUUUUAAGUUAGCAUUUCAGGUUGUUAUCUACAGUUCAACACAAAUCAAAUUAUUAAAUGCCUGAACUAAGGUUCAGAUAAGAUAAACAGGUUUUGAUUUACUGUGAAAUUGUGCAGCUGUUUAACUCUUCUAGCAUGUAGCAUAGCUCUAUAUUAGUUCACUAAGAUAAACCGAGCUUAGCUUAGCUGACUGAUUGAUUCAUGCAACCAUCUGCAAUUCAUUCUCCUAUUCCCAAACCGCAGCCUCCUUUGUAUAAAAAUAAUAACAACAAUAAUAGUAGUAGCUUUUGAUUCAUAACCAGUCUCAAAUCUCAGUCGUUGCUCGAUAUAAUUUCACAGGUGCCAUUAGAAGGCUUUAGUGCACUUCAAGGAAUUUCAGGUUCUCAGAAGUUUCAGAUACACAAAGCAUAUGGCAGCCCUGAUCACUUGCCUUCUGCUCAUACCUGGUAAUUCUAUGUAUUUGGUUAAUUCUGCAACUUAAUGAUUUUAUCUUUUCUGCGAGUUUUCUUUCAUUUGCUUUGCAAUUUUCAGCUUUAGAUCCUUCUCCCUUAACAAGGAGCAUUAUACUUCAUGAUUAUUGCAGUUUCAAUCAAUUGGAUUUGCCCGAGUACCCAUCUAAGGAACAUCUAGAAGAGAGAUUGCUACUCGCAAUUCAUGAGGCCAAUGAAGGGUUUGGAUUUGGUUAAAGAUGGGAAGCGGUGAUCAGAGUCAUCUUGUAGAUAAAGCUACAUAUAUACAUAAGAUGCAUAUGGGGAUCUUGUUAUGAGGGUAUAAGGGGCUAGGCAAUUAGUACAUAUUUAUAUGCUGUACAGUCGCAUAUUGGCUACUGUAAUUGCUCUGGCAGUUUUAAAUUUGCCACCGUUGUCGUUCCAUUUAAAUCUGCCUUGGAAGUAGAGGCUCGUUAACGAUUCAUCACAUUGUUGAGUCUUUCCUUUGUUGAGACCCUCUUUGCAGGUAGUCUUUUCUAUUACAUUUUAGGUUGUACAAUAAUUGCAUCAAAUUAGUUUAUUGCUACCAUGUUUUGGUUAGUAUUUUUUCUCUUGCCUUUUCUAUUUAUUUGUUUUGUUAAACGAGUUUAAUUGUUUUGGUAACGAAACACCACUGUGCCUUGAUUAAUUUUUUUUAAUAAAAGAUGAUUCAUUUACUGAAAAGUCUUUUAAGUGAUUUAACAAGAGCCCUUAAUUGAAAACAAUAGGCUCCUUCCCUAAUAGGAAGGAAGCAAUCAAUUGACCCUUGAAUCAAAUCCUAGUAUGAAUUUUUUUUCUAAAUUGAACUAAUGGAAGUAGAUAUCAUGAUCCCAAACCCUUGAUCUAGAGAAAUCCUAAAUUAUUCAUUGAUAGAAAUGUUCUUAGCCUGACUGAUACUUCUCAGUUCGUCCUUAAACCUUAUCCCUAAAACGCAAAAUUUACUGCAAAGAGAACCCUUCAGCCCACUACUUCAGCCAAAUCCUGUGAAUCGAAACUAUUUUUGCUCUUAAUCCUUUGAAUCCACAGCCAUUUCCAUACCCUUGCUUACAUUGCUGGUGGUCGUAUAUGCAAAAGAAGAUAACAGGUAUGGUUUUUUUCCCAUUCUGGUUCUUGCAUCUUGCAUCUUGCGUCCUGAAGGGUUUAGGGAUAUUUCCCUUUAUUUCUGUGGGUGUUUUUUUUCUCUAAUUUGUCCAGUAUAUAUACAUUGUUGAUGAGGCUGAUGCCUGUUCAAUAUAUAAUUUUAGGGCUAUUUUUUAAUUUUUGGUUGUCAGAUAAGGACUGUAAAAUCCUUUAGGGAGUCGGUAUUUAGAAUUUGAAUUUGGAUUAAAAAUAGUGUAAAUCAGGUAGUAAAAAAUUUAGAAAUAUAUGAUUUAUGAUGAUUUCUUAAAUUCAUGGAUUUAUUAGAAUCUCAUUUAGUAAUGAAUUUGAGAUCUUUAAAAUAUUUUUAAAUUUGAUAAAUCUACUUUUUUAUACUUUUCUAAUGUUAUAAAUCUACUUUUUUAUACUUUUUUUAAUGUUAUAUUAAACCUCAAUUAAUUUAUUCAAUUUAUUUUUACCAUUACCAUAAUAAUUAAAAUUUAAAUUCAAGUUUUUAAAUCUAAACUUUUAUGAAAUUUGGGUUUGAAUGUUUAUUUAAACCCUAUUUUUUUUGGAGAAAUAAACAAAUAAAAUGAAUAUGAAGAUAUUAGAUGAAAAUACAUCUUUGCUUGGGAUGAAUAAAGAUGAAGACAACAAUUAUGAAAUGUUAGAACCCUUGCACGAUAAAAACAACCGUUUUGGAUUUCAGUGUAUUUUUCACUUUUUAACUAUUUUUUAUAAUGAAAUUGUUCCGUCAUCAUUUAAUUACUUGUUAGGGGUGUAACAUAUCACAACCUACACCAUUCAAAUUUUUAAGUCAACAAAAGAUAAUUACUUAUUAGGGGUUUAUACAAUUAUAAUUUAAGCGGUUAAUUGAUUGUUUAUAUUUGAUUAGAGAUUCAAUUGAAUCUAAUUUUUUAUUAAAAACUUAAUUGAUUGUUAAUUUAUUUUAUAGGAAUUUAUCGCUUUAUUAAACGUAAAUAAAUGCUAAUCUAAAAUUGAAAAGUUUACCAUACUUUUUAACACAUAAAUUUUGAAAUAUGAUUUAGCCAACCUGAAAAUGAUAAUGUUGAGGAGGAUUUAAUUUUAAAUGAAUGAAAGAAAAAACAAUUAUGACAUGUUUGGUUGAGAGAAUUGGAAUAGUGAUUUUUCUCAUAGUUAAAUAAUCAUUCAAGAUUCUAAAGUAAAAAGUAAAAGAAAAUAAGUACUUUAAAAAUAGGUAAACUAGAAGGAAAAAAAGGCUAAAAAUAAAAAAAGCGAAUCAAAUAUGAUUUUAAUUCUGUUUAAUUGGUAGUUUAAAUGCAAAAUAAUUUAUGUUGUGGAAUUCAAAAAUCAUACUUAAAUGCACGGUUUAUAUUAAUCUUGAUCGUUUAUAAAUGUCAAUCACUAGAAGUCGUCUAAUGCAUUAGCAGUUAUAUGAUUUAUCCCGCACAAAGCAAGAUUGACAAUUGUAUAAAAUCUUUACCUCAUUAAGCAUAAAAAAUGAAAACGAUAUAUAAAGUUCUUUUUUUUUCUUUCAAGAGAAACAAUGAAGUAGCCUUAUUCUCCAUCCAAAGUUGCCCGGGUCCGAAAUUUAUGCCUAUUGUGCUAUGAAUGCCUAAAAAAAUUACUCUGUAUAAAUUUUUAAACCAAAGAAUUAAACAAAAAAAACUCUUUGAGAGAGGAAGAUCAUAAAAAGAACGAGACGGAAUCACAGAAUUGGAAACCAAAAAUAUGAGGAAUGAACUAUUGAAAAAAGGAGAGUAAAAAAACAUUCACACUAAAAGGUAAAAGAGAGAGCAUGCAUUAAACACCAGUCAUAGCAUAUAUAUAUAUAUAUAUAUAUAAGAGAAUUACAAUUUAGUACAAAUAUAUAUCUAAUCAACUAUAAUAUAAAAUAAAUGUAAGAUAGAGAUUCACACUUUACGUUUGCGCAAAGAGAGUCUCAAUGACUCAAAGCCUCCAUCUUAACCAACAAGCCAAUGACUCAUUGACAAACAAUGGCAAAUCCAGGAGAAGCUGGCAGGGGGCCCAGCUCCCCCUAAAAUAGAAAUUUUCUCUUUAGGGUCUUUAUAAUUUUAAAUUUAUAAUUAUAAAAUUACAUUUUGAUCCCUCAAAACGAUAAAAAUUUGAUUUAACUAUUUAAAAAUUAUAAAGAUAUAAGUUAUUAAAAUAGUGAAAUCAUAUUUUUACUAUUAAAAAUAUAUAAUUUAAUUUCGGCUCCCUCAAAAUUUUUUUGGUUGACAAACUAUAUAUUAUAAUAUAUAUUUUAAUAUUAAAUAUAGAUUUUAAUGUUAUUUAAAUGUUUAAAUAUAUUACAUAUGAUUCUAUAAUGGUGUUAUAUUGUAGACUUGUCCACAAGUUUGUAGACUAUCAGAUUUGGUAGGCAUAGUUUGAUUGGGCUUGGAAAAUAUACUUAUUAUUUUAAAUAAAUUCAGUUUAAUCCGAAUUUGAAGUAAAUAAUAAAGAAAUAAUUUUUAUUAAUAUAAUUAUUAAAAAAUUGAAAUUAGAAAAAAAUUAAACUAGGGAUAAAUAACAUUUAAAAUGUUUUUAAAAUCUUUAAAACUUAUCUAUUUCUCUAAAAAUAUAUAUCCACUUAGUGGUUCACGGAAAGAUAAAUUCUACUUUUAAUUAAACUACUCUUAUUAUUUAACUUUUCAUCAAUAACAACUUAUCUGAUUUUUCUUAAACGUUUACAAUACCCAAAAAUAAAUUUCAUUUAAAAAUCAAGCUUUUAUAUUAAAUUCGGAUCGAAUUAAGCUAUUUCCGUUAACUAAAAUAAUUAAUUAAGCCCUUUCUUUAAUGAUUUUUGUAAUUGAUCACAUUGACUGUGAAAAUAAAUUAAUAAAUCAAUUAAAUAGUAACAUGUGGCAAGUUUUGAUUUUAUCUAAUAUUUUUCUCAUGAAUUUAAUUAUAAAAAUUAUAAAAAGUCAUAAAAAAUUAUCAAAAACCAUAUAAAAUUAUAAAUAAUCAGAUAAAAUUAUCAAAAAUAAUAAUAAUUACUAAAUAUGAAAUUUGAUAUAAACUUAUAAAAAUUAUAAAAUAUUAUAAAAUAUUAUAAAAGAUAUAAAUAAGUCUAAUAAAUAUAAUUGUAAAAAAAUAUAAAAUUAAUAAAACAUAUUUGAAAUAUUUUAAAAAUAAAAACAAAUUAAAAUUCUAAAAAAAUCAUAUAAAUUAUUAAAAAAUAUCAAAAUUUUUAAAAUCGAUAUAAACUUAUAAUAACUAUAAAAAACCAUAAAAACUUAACUGAGACCGGACUAGUUGAUUGGAUUGAAAUUGAUAAGGGUAUCGAUUCAAAGAAUUAGACUAGUCGACCUAGUAACCAGGUUGAAUCGAUUUUUUUAAUAUGUUUUUAUUUUUUUAUUAUUUUUUAACAUUUUACUUAUUUGAACAAAACAAAUCAAUAAAACUAGCAAACUGAUGGCCUAAUUGGUUCAACCACUAGUUUGCUUCUGAAAAGCAUAUGUCAGAAUUAAAAAUUCUGACAUAUGCUAAUAGUUGAAUGAUGAAAUUUUGGUUUGGUCUAAUGGCUUUCUUCGAACCAGUACUUUUGUCGAUUUUAGGCCAAUCAGUCCAACCCAAGUUUUUAUAAUUUUUAUAAGUUUAUAUCGAUGUUAAUAUUUUUAGUAUUUUUCAAGAAUUCUAAUAUGUUUUUUUAUUUUAAAUAGGUUUUAUAUAGUUUAUUAGAUUUUUUUAUAUUUUUAUAAUAUUUAUAAGUUUAAUAAGUUUAUGCAAAAUUUAAUAUUUUUAAUAUUUAUUUAUUAUAAUUUUUCUUAUUUUCAAUUUUUUAUACAAAAACUAUUAUAUUAAAUUAGAAGUUGUCACGUGUUAUCAUCUAUUUGGUCCAUCAAUUUAUAUUAAUGGUUAACGGAAGAAUUUAAUUAAUUAUUUAAAUUAACGAUAGGGCCUAAUUAAGUGUGAAAUUAAUAUAGAGGCUUAAUUUUUUUUUACAUUUUCUUAAACUACUUUUUUAUAUAUAAGUUCCUUUUUUAAUUACAGAUAUCAUUGUUUUAAAUAUCAUUAAUUAAUUAUAAAUUAAAUAGUUUUCAUUCAAAAUUGAGGCCCAAGCCCCAAAGGUGGAAUCUUUGGUUUGAAAGUUAACUUGGGGGUUAAUUGUGUCAUUUGGCAAGUGAGAUGAGAGCAUUUUAGUCUUUUCGACGUGGAGGAGAAAAAACCCUAGCACUAGCACUUCGCAAUUCAUGCUCCUAUAUAUAUCCGCUAAGGGUCUCCUCCUACCACGCAGCCUAAUUAAGUUGUAGAAGAAGGGAGGUAGCUCUUUUGAUCGUUUUUUCAUUGAUGAUUGUUUGUGUUAGGCUUUAGAUAGUUUUUGAAAAUUUGGGGAAAAAAAAGUUUUCGUUUGUCCUGUGUACAAUAAGCCGAUGCUCUGGAAGAAAAAAGAAAUGAAGGUAGCAUGGUAGUGUGCACAGAAACUGAAUCUUACGAUGGGACGACAUGUCUGCUCUCUCUGAACCUCAUUUCUAUUGGGGCUUUGAUGAGGGGGCCUGGUUUAGUCCCACAUUUAUUUAUUUUUUCUUCAGUUAUUAUACUCUUCAGCCGUUCUUUUCUUUUAUCUAUUUUUUUAAAAUCUGGCUGUUGACGAUUUUUAUGGUUGGUUUGAGUGAAUCUUUUUAUAAUUUGGGUUUUUUUAUGCGAUUAAAUUUAGCAGAAGGGGUUUGAAUUGUCGAUGUGUCUUGUCAAAAUGCUCUUUUUUUUAUGGAGCCAUGUCUAGCUUCUGAGAAAUUUGCUUUUUCUAGUUUUUCUCCCGUAUUGAAAAUAAAUUACUGACGAAUCGUGCCUUAAUAUAGCUUAAGUGCGAAACCUACAAAUGUAACCUAUUUGCUUUUUUUCGUAAGGGGUAUGAAUGGUCACGCUUUGAGCUCGUGAUGUCAACCACUGAAUGUGAGCCAAUAUUAAAUAUUAAAGAAAAUAUAAAGUAGACUAUUUAGAUCAGAUAAACCUAUAAAUAAUUUUUUAGAUUCCUGCUUUACAGUCUUCCCAAGGUCUCUUGUGUGCCUGUAAUCGAUAAAUGGAUUUAUUUUGCACUUAGAAGUUGAAAAUUUGUUGAAUUUUUAUCAAAAAAUUAGUCAGCUUAUGACAUCCCGGAUGCCAAAUUGAUCCGACCCUAAUUAUCAAACAGGGGAACCUAAAAAAAGAUCUGGGCAGUCCCAGGUGAUCAAAUGUGUUGACUGUUAAAUGUGUUGAUUUACUUGAAAAUAAGAUGCAAUUUCAGGUUUAACAGAUCAAGCGAUGAUUAAAGAACAAAAGCAGAAUGUCUUAGCCUCCAAACUGAGAAAAAAGCAAGCUUUUUUUGAAAUUAUAUUAUAUUAUGAAUUAUUAACUUGUGAACGUUAGAGCUAACAAUCAUUUGGAACAAAUCUACGAAGGAAAGAGAGGAAGAAAAUCUCAAUUGGUCCAUCGGUUAAACAUUUUUAUCAAGUUAAAGAUUUUAUAAACAUUUUUUAUAUUAAUUUGAAAAUAUUUUUAAUUUAAAAAAUGCUUCAAAAAUAAUUUUAAUAUUUAUAAAAACUUUAAAUAAAAUCAUUUAAAUUAUUAUAUAACAUAACCUCCAACAAAUUUUUUUAAAUCUACUAAUCAUUUUAAAAGUAAAUUUUUAUAUAUUCAAUAAAUAUAUACUUUUCACUUGAUGUUUUUCUAUUGGUAAUAUCAAAACUUAAAAUUUUGAUUCAAUGUAGAAAUUUGAUUUUAUGCAAGAAUAUUUUUUUAUUGAGAAAACAAGUGGCUAACCGCUUAGAGAUGUAGGCUCUUGAUCUUGUUAUUCCAGUAAUAUUAUCAUCGAUUAAUCUCAUGAGAGUAUGAAGAGGGAUCCUAAUAUUUUCCAUUACAAACCCUUGUCUUUGCGCCCAAGCAAUAAAGAAAUCGGUACAGCAAUUUCUCUUGAAAAAUGUGAAAAUAAUAUCAAAUAAUACAAUAGACUAAAAUUCAUGUAUAAAUUUGAUAUUUAUCAUAUAUAUCAAUCAAUCAAGAGAAAUGAUUAUACUGGAUUAUAUAUUCUCAGUACUAAAAACACUUAAAGCUAAAAAAGGAAGAAAAAUAGAACAAUCAUGUCAAAAUCAUUUCCGACCAUCAUCUUAACCACAUUUUCAACUUAUUGCUACUCUCUCUGGGCUCUUUACCCUGAUCCCAGUUGAUUCUAUUGCCGGUGAAGCUUUUCUCAACACUAUUUACCGAUUUCCCACUCCUUGUAAUCCUACAUGGCCACUGCUCAAUUUGCCUUGCUUUGUUUGUUUCACUCCAUACCUUCUUCUCCACGAAAGCAGACGAUAGCAACACAUUGUUCUCAAUCCCUUUGCUCUCGAUCUGUCUUUUCCUUCUCAACUCUCUAAGCGACUCCGUUCCUUUCAACAAGUCUGACCCCAUCUCAUUCAUCCUUCUCCCAUUUGAGUUUAAGCUCCUUCUAGUUGUAGGAUUCAUGCCAUAUAUGGUUUCAAUGGGUGUGACUUGUGAUUUCUCUGCAGAAUAUGAUAAUCCCGGUCGCAUUGUCUGUUCCUGGUGUUGCCUCAACUUUUGUUCAAGUUCAUUACCCUAACAAUUUCACGUAAAAGGGUUAGUUUCCGACUCUAGGAUCCUAAAUUUUAUUUCCCAAGUUCAGAAAAAAAAACAACAUUUAAGAUGGAAAAAAGAACCUUUUGUUGUGAUCCUCCACUUUCUCUUUCCAUUUUCAACUUGUUUUCGAGUUCUUUAACCUGUAUCAAUAGAAUCAUAUCAGAUGGCCGGGGAGCAGUGAUGAGGCAAUAAUGGUUAAUACAAGGAAAGAAACGGACUGCCAUAAAUAACAUCAUUUGCAAUUAGUGGUUGAAUUGAACAAUGGGAAAGGGGAAAAUAUUUGGCUAAAUGCUUAAAUUAGGCUCAACCUUUAUGUUGCUCACAUAAGGGCCACACCUUUCAAAUGAUCAUAUAAGGGCCUCACCUUUACAAAAGUGUUAAAAUAAGGACUUUCCACACACUUCAAUUCAAUUUGUAAUAAAAAUUAAAUGAAUAUUGAUGUGUUUAGGAUAAAACACAUAAAAGUUGAGUUCAACAGUGCUUAAAAAAAAAAUCUUAUUUGAGCACUUUCGAAUAUAUUUGGCCCUAGGUUAGACCCUUAGAUGACCAUUUUGAAUGGUUAAGUACUUAUGUGAGCAACCCCUAAAAGGUUGGCUCCAAUUUGAGCAUUUAGCCAAAAUAUUUUGAUAUUUAAGUCAAACAUUUUCGUUAGUUACAAUUACCUUCUGUUGAAGCGUCCCUGAAUGAAGCUCAAAUUCCCGUGUUCUCUCUUUCAAAAUGUCUUCAAGCUUCUUCACCUGUGAAAUUAUACAAUCAAAUGAAUUUAAAAACCUCUUGAUAAAUUAGUAUUGAUGCUAAGUUUUCCAUAUAUUCAAUAUCGGAUAUCAAAUUUAAUCAACUUAUUUUUACUCAACAAAGUUAAAAUGUCAAAGUUUCAUUUUAAGCAAAACCUUUCUCUGUAGAGACAAGGAUGCUGUCUGAUUCUGAACAUGCUCUUUCAGUUUGUUCUCGAGCUCCACAACCUGCGGUGAAAAUACAAGUCAAAACUGGCAUUUGGUUGAUUUGAAGGCAAAAUAAAGUAAAAAGAUAGAGAACUAAAAUUUUCAGAUGACAAUCAACCUUUAGCUGGGAAUUUGAGCAAAUUUCUUCCUUUUCCAUCAUUCUUUCUGAAAGUUGCCACAACUGCCUCUCUAAUUGUUUACAUAACUCUGCCUUGGAUGAAAGCUGGUUUUCAAGUUCAUUGAGCUUUUCUUCUUGGGUUUUGCAAAGUUGACCCUUAGCUUUGGCUUUAUCCUCUAAGUUGUGAAAGUUCUCCACUGACUUUCUUAAAGCGUCAUCUUUCGAUUUCAAUUCUUGCUUGGCUUUGUCAAGCUUCAAUAGUUCAACAGGAAGACGAGGCAAAAAAAGGUACAUGUUUAGGUUUUGGUUCCGAAAGAUAUUCACUUCAAGUUCUAGUUUUGUGUUAGAUUCGGUAAAUUUAGCAAUCAGCUUACCAUCUGUUUCAACUUUUGAAGCUCAGCGGUGUCAACCUGUUUCUUUGUUGGACCCAACUCCACUCCUCGGACCCGACUUGCAAAAUUUAAUGAACUUAGGGUCUCACCUAAGUCCUGCUCCGAAGGGCUGAUUUGUACAAACAUCAAGGUUUUAGAAUCGCCUCCUACAGCAGAUUAAUAAAGGCUUUUGAGAAAGGUCGAUGAUACUUUCAAUUCCUCCAUAUAAUAAAACUAAUAAUCCAUCAAUCAUGGUUAAGUGCACCAUAUUCUAUAACAAAAGCGUUCCCUUUUGAACUCUGAACAUUCUUCUAAAUGUGUUCAUACAUAUGCAAGUACGUAAUGAAUUCUUUCUGAAGUCUAUAUUUGAACGUUUUCAGAGUUGACUAAUAGGAUAUUCGAAUAGGAAACUCCUUCCAUGUGCUUGCUUACCUAAGGAAUCUUGGAGUAGAUGUGUGAGCUUGGAAUUCCUGCAAAACCCAAAUAGAUAUCAAAACCAGUAAUAUACAUCUAGGAUACAAUGAGAUAAACAGCAAACCUAUAUGGGAUGUGGCUGCUUUUGUUUGCCAAAGCAGAAAUCACAUCUCCUAAAGCAGAAAGUGAUCUGUUGAUAUUUUGGGCUUCCUUAAGCCGAUCUCCUUGCACUUCAGUUUUUGCUAGCCUUUCACUACCGGCCAAAUCCACAAGCCAUAAUUUGCUCUUGGUGCACUCACCAGUGAUCAAAUUCUUUGCUUUAACUAAUAUGCAUAGCAUGCUGCAAAAACAAUACAUAUAUGCAAGCCUCAAAUGAUAACUUCUAUUGUAGCAUAUAAAUUCUUUCCUUUUAUCAUUUUAUACAGAUACGAAGAACAUUUGUAAAACUAGAACAGAAACGAAAAUGGUUAUUACAGACCCUUGCAUAAUAUGGCAAAGUCAAAGACAACUAAUUUUGCUUGCCGUCUUGAGCAAAAACCAGAGUUAAUCAUAACAAAAGGAAAGUUUUGGUGAUACUAACCAGUGAGAUCGGCUACUAUGCUCAUUCACAUUGUUUGACCCUAUAGCUCUUGCAUUGUUUCCAGCCUGUAGCACAUUCCAAACCUCCUUAAUAUUUUCAACUUUAGCCUCCACUAUCCCAGGAACAUGAUGAAACCCCUCUGAAGCUUGCCUUAUCCCCAACCUUGAAUAAACCGGACCAAUCAAUGGCAAUUCUUACACUCACAACAGAAAUACACCAAGCCAAACUAAAUCGUAAAUAAGAAUAAGAUUUUGAUUUUACCUUUUUGAUGCUGGUUCAGUUGCAAGCAAGUCUCUGAUUUGCUCGUUGUAGACUUCAAGUACACUGACAGAUAUACUAAAGGUAGAAAUUUCUUUCCGCUCUUCGAUUAAUUUAAACAACUGCUCUAAAGUCCUAUAGUUGACUCCUCGAUUUUGUCCUGUACCUUCCAUGGUAAAAGUCUUCCCAGUUCCUGUCUGCCCAUAUGCAAAUAUACAGACAUUGUAACCAUCUAAAACCGAAGUUACCACUGGGGAAGCAUCUGCAAACACCGAAACUGUAAAAGCAUAAAAGUUUCGAGUUAGAGUAUGUUCUCAUAUCCUUAUCCACAACUGUACCAUAACUCAGUCAAACUAUAGGGACUGACUUUUUUUCUUUUUUGCUGCAAACCUCCACAGUCAGAAAUCAAUUCCUCUGAAGUAUGCAUUAUGCAAAUUUCUGACUAGGCGAUAAAAUGCAGUAAUCACAUUUAAGCAGGAAAGACAGCUGAAGGAGGAAAAAUAAGCUGACCUAUCGGGAUAAAUUUUCCAAAAUAGUAACAAAAAAUUAAGCUAAACUAAAUUUAUUUAUGAUAUGUGCUGUUCAUUAAACUAUUAAAUAUAGCAUAAACUCAGAUCAGGUAUGCUUGAAGAGAAGCUAAUUCUUUAGUGUUGUUAUUGAGAAAGCAAAUGCAGCACAAUACCUUGAUCAUCCUUAGGUGUAUAAACUCGAUCAAAUUUGAAAAUUUUCUUCAUGGAGCUUCCUGUAAGUAUCCCUAUAUCUCCAUCCUUAGCUGCAGUAAAAUCUACAAUCGUUGUAUGCCCAGCUGAAGCCUCGUCAUCUCUUAAUGGACGGCACCUACAGAACACUCUGAUCUUUCCUGCGAUAAAAUAACAAAGCUGGGAUUAGGUUCAAUCCACACUGCAAACAUUGAAAAUUCGAUGUUAAAUUUUUGAACAUCAAAACAUGCCUUUUGCUUCCUGUAUCUGGUUAUGUAGCUUUUUCCUCAUUGCCUGCUCCUCAUUGAGCCUUAGUUUUAGGUCUUCACACUGUGCCACUGCAGUUUAGAUAGAUUAUGAAGAUGUAGAGAUUCUUACCAAAAAAAAGUUGCUUGGUGAUACAUACAUACCCAGUGCUUGAACAGCAAAUAUCAUCUUGUUUAAUUCUGGAAUUGAAUCAGCACAGUCAUGCGCCUUAUUAGAUAGCAGAGAAUGCUCUUGCUUUAUGAUCUGAAAAAGAGAGUGAUUUUUAAACAAUCUCUUUGAUGUUUCACUAGGUCUGUCAAGAAAAAUUGUACUAGUUAUGGUCAAGAAAAAUAAGAAAAAAUAUAGUUUACCUUUAUUUUUCUUUCCAACUCAAUGACGGAAUCAACCCAUAAUCUCUUAUCACACUGAUAUUUAGUAGAAAUGUCUUUCAACUUUGCAGCUUGUUGUUCCAGGGCCCUAUCUGCAUAAGCAUUAGGCAUGAUCAAAAAAUUUCAAGUUUUCUAGCAAACAGAACAAUUCUUACAUUUCAUAGGCUCUUUCGUUUUUCCCUUUAGCAACCUACAUUUAAUCGUUCUUCCAUCUGAGACAUUCAGCCAAACCCUCCUUACCUAAAUUCAAAUUCUGGAAGAACUUGUUGUCGAGUUCCAUUCUGACCUUCUCUAGUUGUUCAUUUGAAGUUGUUAAUGACAUCCAAGCUUCAUAGCAUUCAUCUGUCUUGAGCUGGCACAGGUUCUUCAGCUCUUCUAUCUUCUUUUCAUACUUUACUGUAGAUUUCAUUUUCAUAUGUUUCUUCUGCAAACCACGUGAACAAUAAAUCAACAUAACCUAAAGCAAGAAUCUUUGUACUUCAGACGGUCUCAAUCCAGAGUUUGUAUCUCACCAGAGGUGAUGAAAUUUCUAUUUCAGCAUCACAAUUGUUGCAUACAAGAUAAUCGCAAUUCAGUCGAGACACUUUAUCUAGUUUAGAAGAUAAUCAUUUAAGCAAAUCAGCAAGUCUCUCAGGGAAAAUUCACAACAGAAACCUAACAUGAAAGAGAAAAAGAUACCAGCUAAUUCUGUAGCCCGUUUUAUGCAAAUCCCAUUAACUAUUGGGCUUCCACAGACACUUUCAAACCUUACAACAAUCUCCCUGCUCGCCCCCACGGAAGCUCUAAUAUCAACCACUUGUAAUGGCUUGUUUGCUCCAACUAUAGAGUAUACAUCAAGUUCAGACAAUACCUGCCGUUUUCACCAAAAGAACAAGCGAAAUUCCUUAACAACAAUGAACCAAACUAAAUAUAUACACUAUAAGUCGUAUAAUUUUAACUUGCCUUGUCUUCUUGAAUGAAGACAUCAAAAACUCUCAUUCCUUUAGGUCCAUUGGUGUUCACAAUUUCAGCAAAAUGAAGAUCAACCAAAUAGUCCCCCGGGGGGAAAUCAUUGAAUCGGUAAGUGACGUUUCCAAAGCGUGCUGAUUGAUAAAUGGGUGGCAUAUCGCCACCACCAUUGAUGCUUUCAAUGGUUCGCAAAACAUCCCCUCCUUCGAAAAAUUUAUCUCCACAAACAUCAACUCCGCUCGCUCCUUCGUUCUUUAAAGCCCCUCCUCCAGCAUUUACAAACAUAACAGCAGUGUCUAGACCAAAACAGAACAGUCACAGUCGCUUCCACUUUUAAAAGCCAUCAACUUUAUUUAAGAUAUUUCCAAAAUAAUUCGAGAUUAUUGUUCAUAGCAACCAAACAGACUCAAAAACAUCAACAACGUUAGACUCCGCAACAAAAUAGCGAACAAGAAUUGAAGAAAACAGGAAAUGAAAGUAAAUUAGAUAUAAAGAAACAGAAUAAGAAAAAAACCUGAAAAUUCAGAGGUUUCAAAACCAGAUUUAAUCAAUCUUGAACCAGAAAAGCAGAGUGUCGAAUCCACUUCAUCUUCUUGAUUCUCAUUCUCGAACUCAGAAUUCAUAGUAUCUUGUUCACAGUUAAGCAAACUGCAAGGCCUGGAAUUUGGGCUUUGGAUCUUGGAGAGUUGGAGAUGAGAUUUAGGGAUUUGAGAUUCUGCCAUCGGAGAAAGACCUACAAGGAAAAAAAAAAGGAGGGAAUUCGUAGGUGGACCUGUGUUUUUCAAAAUCUUGCUUAAUGUUUCUUUUACCUUUUUGACUAUGUAGCUAACUAUAAAAACUACUGAUGUUUUGUGGACAGAGAUAUUAUAAUAUGACAUGGCCUUAAUUGAUUCGAAAUUUAAAUUUGCUAAAAUAGCGUUUGAACUUUGAAUUUGUAUUUGAUGGACCGUUAGUCCGUUACCCUUUUAAUUGAGUCCUUUAGGCUCCCCUGCCGUGGGUCAUUUUUGUGGGCCGGGUUUCCAUUGUGUUGUACUGUUGUCUGAUCUAUGUGGUCCAAAUUUACUUUGUCCUAUUUACUGCCCUUUUUUUUUGUUAAAAUAACAUUUUUAUAAUAUAUCAUUUUGAAUAUUUUUUCACACUAAUAAAAUUUGAAAUUUGAAUUGACUGCACCAUAUAUCCUCAAAUCAUGUUUGAUAUUUUAUAUUAGUUUCUAAUUUUUUAAAGCAGUUAACAAACAUUUAAAGUAUUUUAAUUAAUUUAUUAAAAUAUUAAUAUUGUAUCAAUUAAAUAAUAUAUUACAAAAUUUUAAAGAAAAACAGGUUGAGCUAAAAUUGGCUUUAGAAUGUUGGAGUCUAAACUUAAUCUAUAUUUUCAAGGAGUUUUUAUUUCCUUUGCCUAAAUCCAUUUUUUAAGUAUAACAAUUUUGUUCAAACUCUUUCAAAUAUUGGGCGAGAUUUUAAGCUAAGACAUGUCCACUUUCUAUUAUCAUAGUCAUUAUCUUACAUAUUAAAUGUCAUUUACGAUGCGAACUUUACUGGUGCGAACCAGUUGCAUCUUAACCGUUGAAAGUUGAUUUGCAAAACAACAUUAAAUGGUCUGUCGAUAAGCCACGUGUAACAGGAAGUACCUACUCAACAAGGACCUAAAGUUAUUUUUUAAAAUUUAACUCGGACAAAUAUAUUUGAUUCGAUUUGAAUCGGAUUCUAUUUCACUUGACUUAAUUCGAGAAAAUUUUAAAUCGAGUUAAGAUGAUAAAAUAGAAUUCGUCAAUUCAAAUUUUUUUCAUUCAAUUCGAUUGAACACUCACUCUUAGUUAAAGCGAUAGCAGAUUUGCAAUGCUUAUGUAUGACAUGGCAACAUUGAUGGACCACACAAUCGAUCAAUCAUCCAAUGUCUCAUAUUCAAUUUUGCAUGGGGUUUGCACUGGGAAAGUUCACAUUGUAGUUGUCACCCAAAUAUGAUGUAAAAUAUGUCUAUUAAUUGGAUGUUUUCCUACCUUAAAAAAUAUGUAUAUUUACUAUAUCCACUGUUUCGAUUUAAUAAGUUUGAAAAAUAACAGUUCUUCUAAAAUUUGUUAACACUUUAUUUUUUUUAACAUGUCAUAUUUAAAUUGUUAAUGCAAUUGGUACAUAUAAUUACAAAGUCGCAUUUUUUAAAUAUGUUCUACAUUGAUGACUGUAAUAGGCCAUUUUAGCCCGGGCCCAAAUGCAUAAACCUGUAUAUAAUAGCCUAUUACUAAACCCAAUAACACCCUGACCCGAUAACCAAAUUACAAGCCCAAUACCCAAACAGCCCAAAUACCUAACCCAUUAGCCUAAAACACAAAAAAAAUGAACAGCAGAAACCUUUGGCAAUAAGCAGCAGAUCGGCGUCGCCCUCGCCCCCACGUUGCAGCAAUCGCCUUCACGCACGAACGCAUAGCAACUGCCCACGUCGUCUCACCCACGUCUGGUAGCUUCGCACGAUGCACGUACCUGCAACAAGCCAUGAACCACGAAUAGAAAUGAUAGCAGAAAUUACGACAAAAGUGAAGAGAGUUUUUUUCUUCCCCAAUAGUUUCUUUCUCCGUUGUUUCGGCUAUAUAAAGCCAAAUCAAAUCUGUAAAAGGGUUACACACACAUAUAUUGAAAUACUGAAAUAAGAAAGAAAAGAA